UGUAUACUUCAUCCGUCUCAAAAUUCUUGUCUUAAAUUUGUCUAAAUACGGAUGUAUCAAGUCACGUUUUAGUAUUAGGUACAUCUAUAUCUUGACAAAUCUGAGACAAGAAUUUUGGGACGGAGGGAGGACAUA
rfam:Triticum aestivum genome assembly, contig: Triticum_aestivum_CS42_TGACv1_scaffold_603583_7DL